GCCGCCACCCACCCCUCCCCUCGCUCUCCUCCCUCCCUCCCUCCCCUCCGGCAAGAUCUAGCGCGCGGCCUCCCUCUCUCCUCGAUCCAGAUCCACCUACACUUCCGGCGAUCCCCAAUCCGGCGACAAAGACGGCUGCUCCCGCGCCGGCCUUCUUCCUCGCCGCAGGUGCCACUGCUCGUCUCCUCUCCGGUGAGUGCGGAGGAGCCACCGCGGUCGAGGCAGCCGCCGGCUAGAGCCCCGCCUCUUCUCCUCUCCGGUCAACGUGGAGGUCCGCCGCGUCCAACCUCCUCGACGGCGCCCGGAACCCUAGGCGGCCCAUCUCUUACUCCCAUGGCCAUGGCCAUGGCGAGCCUGCAAGAUGUGCAGCAGCAGAUAUUGAUUUCCCAGCCCGCCUGACGGCCCACUCCCUCGCCCCCGCGCAGAUCUUCGAGUACAACGGCUCCGCACCCUGCAGCCGCUGGUCCGGGACGAGCGCAGCGCCGGUUCGGGUGUCUUGCGCCAACCAGAGCCCGCCUCAGGUGCUCGACGGAACGCCGGCUACAUCCUCGGCAUGUUCCCCUACCCGAGGUACCCAUCCAAGCGCCUCUCCUCUCUGGCUCCCCGUAUGGAAUUCUUCAUCGAAUUGCUCGAGUCGCCUAUGAAUAUGUUGCUACCUCGCCAUGGAUUUGUGUUUGAGUUGUGUAUAAGAAUAAUGGAUGGUUCUGCAGUUUCAGUUUCUCCACCUAUGCUCAAAUUGUUGGAGUUUGUCAUCAGUUUCUCCAGUGCUGUACUGGCCAUGCGAUUGCACGUGGUGGUGUAAUUGGGCUGUAGUCAUGCAGUAGGAUACGAGGCUCUAGUUUAGUUUUCUGUAGAAUAUGUAAUAUUGAAGUAUCCUCUGUUAUGCGACUGCAUAGAGCCUAAUAUUUACUCUUCCCGGAUGCAUAAAGUCGUCCUGAAAUUGAAUCCCAGAGUAUAAAUGAGUUUGCAACCAUUCCUAAUUUUAAGUGCAAUGUGCUUCUGUAUAAGCUGCUAUAGAUAUAGCUAUCAUUGAUGUUUAUUCAAGAUUAAGUAUUCACUUCCUUCUAGUAUUUCAGUUUUUUGUGGAGCACUUCAGAAACUAAAAUGUACACAUUUAAGAAUUAGUUCUCAUCCAGUACUCCGUCCGCCCCCACAAUAUAAGACCUUAUUGCUGCUUUGAUCUUUCAGUUACCUCCGCAGUUUUUUUUUGAAUAUUUACUGUGAGGCAAAGCCCCACAGCCCUUUAUUGAAAUCGAACAACUGUACAAAAAAGAAUAGUAGGAGUAUAUACAGGAGCUAAGAAACUAGCCUACAAAGCUAAGGUACAGGACUAGAACUACCUACCUGGACUAAAGCUUUUAUCCAAGCUUUAAGCUUGAUGCUGCUAUCAUCCUUGAGCCUAUGAGUUAGGAGUGAAAGAUCAUGUACAAAGUUAGACCGCCAAGCAGCAAAAGUAGCUCUCUCCCCUCUAAAAGUUCUGCCAUUCCUGAGGAUCCAAAUAUUCCAUGCUGCCGUCAACAUUACUUCGAAGAAGAAAGGAUGCCUGAAGCUUGAGCUAGCAUGUUGGAUACAUUGCUGAAUAUCCGGCCCUCUUGACCAGUCAAUAGAAAGGUAGUUCCAAACCCUCCGACUGAAAUUACAGUUGAAGAACAAAUGCAGCCUAUCCUCAUAUGAAAAUUCAUGACAGAUAACACAAAGAUUAUCAUCCAGGGGGGAUCUCCAGUGCCUGCGGAUCAGAAGGUCCUUGGUGUUAAGCCUGUCAAAGAAAAGUAACCAUCCAAAGACUUUGAUCUUCAUGGUGCAUCUGCUUUUCCACAACCAUUUACACGGUUGAAUUGUGGGCAAAUGUGAGUGCAUCAAGGUGUAGAAACUCUUGGCUGAGAAACUACCAGAUCUGCCCGGCCAAACCCAAACAUCUGGUAUGUUGGUGUCCCUGUUCAAGGCCAUGAUCCAAUCUUCUAGCACUUGCAACUCCUGAGCAGCCUCAUGAGACAAUGGCAAGAAGAACAUGGUCUAGAAGAGCCACCAAUAAACCAAGCAUCAGUCCAAAACAGAGCAGAGUCACCCAUGUUGAUGUGCACCGAGGCAAUAGCUGUGUAUGCAUCAUGGAGCUUAAGGAUAUCUCUCCACCAAAAGGAGACCACUGGGGUUGUAGCGUGUGGAACACCAUCAGCAUAAUAACUGUUCUAGAUGAGGGACACCCAGGGUGAGGAAGGUGGACAUGCUCGACCGAGUCACCAUCUUGCGGUGCUAUGAUUUGAUUUGUGUGCUGUUGUUGCUUGUGGUCUGCAGCCUGCAGGGUUCAUACUGCUCCUUUGUGUUAUUUUUUUGCCUUGAGAUUGUUUCAAGAUUCAGAAGUGAGCAAUUUUGCAUGGCUCAGAUUUUGACGCCUCUGAAUUAGUAGUGCUAAUUAUUCCGAGGUCACAAGAGUAUGUAGCUUCUGAAUUUAAUUGUAUGCAUGCAAUACUUAAUGGUAUUGUUGUGCAAUUCGUACUGAGCAUGCAUCAACAGUAGGAGUGCUCAGUGCAUGCAUCAACAACUAUCUAUAUGUUUGGUUUGAUUGCUGGACUUGUAAAUGUAUGGGUUGGUCUGGGUUUGGUUUGGAUUACAAACUAUUGCCAGGUUGUCUUAAUGUGCUGAAUAUUUGCAAAUGUUGUGGUAGCUGGGGUACUGAAUUGUACUUAGUUAUUUGAUCUACUCAUGUUCAUGCUGCUUGUUAAGUGAUUAUAUUUAUGUUCUUGCUACUAGUAGGAUGGUCAAUACAUGCUUGUUAUGUAACUUUAGAUCUUUCGUGGAACUCCUGGUCCUUCAUAUCUAAAGUUAUUUUGACAUUCUGCCUAGAUUGUAACAUUGCUUGAUUGCUUAUAUCUUCCUUCUGAACCUGCAAUCCUUGAUGUAUAAUUAGUUAAUUACACACUUUGAUAUGUCCAACUGAACCAACUUUGUUAAUUACACACACACACACACAUAUAUAUAUAUACAUGCCCACACGUCAAAUAUAUGGUGUUGUAUUAUGCUUAUGCUACUUGUAUCACCAGUGUUUCCUCUUGUUUUUUUAGGGUGGUCCCUCUUGUUUUUUAGGGUGCAACAACUGAUGGUUAUUUGUCCGAAACAAAACUGCUGACCUCUUCCUGUGGAGGAACAAGAUCUCUGCCGGGGUGCUCGCGGGCGCCACCGCCAUUUGGCUGCUAUUUGAGGAGAAGGAGCACACCCAGGAGAAGAAGGAGCAAGCCCAGGAGAAAAAGAGCGAGCAGGAAAAGAAGGCACUGGAUUGCUGCUGUUGGAGUGUUGAGGACCUGGGAUCUGUGACGGCCCUGCACCGGCUCCCGCCCGCGGAUGUCGCGCGGGCGGCCUGCGCCUGCCGCCUCUUGAGCACCGUCGCCUCCGACCGCGCCGUGCUGGAGGCCGCCUUCCGCGCGCCCUGGGGCGUGCACCACGUCCUCAGCGACCCGGCCACUAGGGCCUUGUGGCGCGCUGCCUCCCUCGCCCGAUUUGCGCUCUCGCGCGCCCUCCGUCGCGGGGUCACCGCCCCGGGCAUCGCGCUAAGUAUUCUGUCCAAGUAUCAUCUGUCUAAUCCUUCCUCCCUGUGUCUGAAGCUCAAGUAUUGUAGCACAUUCUUUGCUGUGAUCAAGUGCGACUCAUAUCCAGUUGUUUGCUCACAUUAUUAUUUGGUUAUGCCAUGCUGCUGCCAUUGUUUGCUUAAGCAUGAUUUGCUCCAACCUGGCAUUGUGUUGUACUACUAGUACGUACUUCAAUUGCAUGCAUGCAUGUUUGCUGUUCCCUGAACUGUUUGACUGCCUGUAAUGCAUACGGCUUGUGUCCUGCGACUCAUAUCCAGUUGUUUGCUCACAUUAUUAUUUGGUUAUGCCAUGCUGCUGCCAUUGUUUGCUUAAGCAUGAUUUGCUCCAACCUGGCAUUGUGUUGUACUACUAGUACGUACUUCAAUUGCAUGCAUGCAUGUUUGCUGUUCCCUGAACUGUUUGACUGCCUGUAAUGCAUACGGCUUGUGUCCUGCUGCUCCCUUACCCGUUGUACUGUUCAUCUGUUGUGUUAACUUGCACUGUGCUCGUACUUGAUCAUUUGCAAAAUAUAUCUCAGUUUUCUCUAUUAUGAGAAUGUUAUAUACAUGGUUUCAUGUUAAAUCUAAAGUUCUGCAGCAAAUUUUCAUCGUUAUGAGAAUUUUAUAUUCACGGAUUCACUUGAUUAUGUGUAACUUUUCAUAAUUUAUUGGUUGCAUAUGCUGGCUUUCAUUCUUCAAAAGUUGGGUGUACAGGAGCUCUAGGAAGAAGAAUCCCGAAGAAAAACUACACCGAACAAUGCGUUUUAGCUCACUGGAGAUAGUUAUGUGUGAAGCUAGUUAUGUGUAUAUUUAGUUGUAUUCUAUAGCUAAAUACCAGAAUUGUACUAUGCUUGGCUGUUGUAUGAAAUAUUGUGCCUUAUUGUAUCUUUUUGAAUCAAAUUAUCUAUUUGCACAAAUAUAGAACUGACCUGGUGGUACCCAAACAGUAAUUUGGUUCCCGUUUAACUAGUGGGACCUACUUUAAAAUGGAAAAGAAACAAAAAAAACUGGCAAGUGGGCUGGAAAAAGGCGAGGCCCAAAAAAAUGUUUACAGUAAAAGGCUGUGGCCCAAAACAUAAAAUUCUAUUGGACCUGGCCCAUGUCGCUGACCAAACUUGAAAGCAAAAAAAUAAUGGGCUGAAUUAAUGGGCUCGGCCCAUAUAGACACCUAA